UAAGGAUUUAAGUUAAAUUCUAAACUAUUAGCCUUCAAAGUUAAAAAUAGGAAAAAGCCUAAGCCUU
rnacentral:tRNA from 1 species